rnacentral:lncRNA from 1 species
GUGUAGGAUUAGGUGUUGUGUUGUUCUUUCAUGUCAUGUGUGCAUGCAUCGACUAGAAUACAAAACGUGGAGUACUAAUACGGAAGCUAGCUAUAGAAAUGGAGUAUAUAUGUUGUUACCUGGAGGAGUUGUUGCUCCAGAGAGUGCACAAGUUGAAUCCAUGCUCGAUCCCAUCAAGAUUUGAUUGCUGGACCCACUGGUAGUGUUGGCCUUGUCC